AUCCCUGACACUACCAUCAAAGUUCAUCUUGACAAACCCAAGAGUGGAGGACUCUCAAGAGAUGGAUAGAACCCUAUGGAUCACUGUCGAAGCAACCAGAGAGCUCUAAGGGAUGGGUUAUCAAGGGACGGAAUGGCAGUGUCAAACUGGCAAUACUUCAGAGCAAGAUAGAUAGCUCUCUCCAACAUCCAACGAGCAGGAAUCACCUCACCAUCAAAGAUUAGGCUGUUCCUCGAUAGCAAAAUCUGGUAAGCGAUAUAAGCUAUUUGACCACCAACAAUGGUCGUCCUAUCGGUCACGCUCUG
rnacentral:lncRNA from 1 species